rnacentral:rRNA from 1 species
AGUGAACGCUGGCGGUAGGCCUAACACAUGCAAGUCGAACGGCAGCACAGUAAGAGCUUGCUCUUACGGGUGGCGAGUGGCGGACGGGUGAGGAAUACAUCGGAAUCUACUUUUUCGUGGGGGCUAACGUAGCGAAAAUUACGCUAAUACCGCAUACGACCUACGGGUGAAAGCAGUGGAUCUUCUGACCUUGCGCGAUUGAAUGACCCGAUGUCGGAUUAGCUAUUUGGCGGGGUAAAGGCCCACCAAGGCGACGAACCGUAGCUGGUCUGGUAGGAUGAUAAGCGACACUGGAACUGAGACAGGGACAAGAGGCCUACGGGAGGGAGCAGUGGGGAAUAUUGGACAAUGGGGGGAAGCAUGAUCCAGCCAUAGCGAGUGGGUGAAGAAGGCGUUCGGGUUGGAAAGACGUUUUGUUGGGAAAGAAAAGCAGCAGGUUAAUACCACGCUGUACUGACGGUACCCAAAGAAUAAGCACCGGCUAACUUCGUG